CCAGCCAAAGGGAAAGAACAUCUAUAACAGGAGAAGGCUUGAAAAUCCCGAACCCUCUCUCAUCACUCCAACUGAUGUUUGCUAUGAAGAUACUUUUUCUUUGACUUUGAAGACCAGCGCUACUGAGAGAGAUCACUGGCCAGUGUCUCAGUCUAAAACCCAGAGAAGAAGGAGUCCUCUGCCCCUGCAGGGCUUCCGAAAAGAUAAGGAAACUGAAGCACAAACAAAUUGAGUGACUUCCAGAGGUCACAGCAUUUAUCCAGUGAUGAAGUCAAGCCAAAUCCAGGUCACCUAGACACCUAAGUCUGUUUUACAUCUCUGAGCUGA